GACGAACGCUGGCGGCGUGCCUAACACAUGCAAGUCGAACGAAGAGCGAUGGAAGCUUGCUUCUAUCAAUCUUAGUGGCGAACGGGUGAGUAACGCGUAAUCAACCUGCCCUUCAGAGGGGGACAACAGUUGGAAACGACUGCUAAUACCGCAUACGAUCUAACCUCGGCAUCGAGGAUAGAUGAAAGGUGGCCUCUACAUGUAAGCUAUCACUGAAGGAGGGGAUUGCGUCUGAUUAGCUAGUUGGAGGGGUAACGGCCCACCAAGGCGAUGAUCAGUAGCCGGUCUGAGAGGAUGAACGGCCACAUUGGGACUGAGACACGGCCCAGACUCCUACGGGAGGCAGCAGUGGGGAAUCUUCCGCAAUGGACGAAAGUCUGACGGAGCAACGCCGCGUGAGUGAUGACGGCCUUCGGGUUGUAAAGCUCUGUUAAUCGGGACGAAAGGCCUUCUUGCGAAUAGUUAGAAGGAUUGACGGUACCGGAAUAGAAAGCCCGGU
rnacentral:rRNA from 1 species